CGAACACAAACUCCGAUGUCCUUCCACACAUCAGCCAUGGCUUCACAGCCCCGUGUUCCUGUACUCCUUGACAGCGGUAGAGCUUUUUUUGAAGGUUCUCCAGAGCUCAGGGUCCUCCAGAGUCAUGCGGAUAUUGCCCUGGAGAUAAGCAUCACCCGAAGCCAUGGCGGAGGGAGGAGGGCCGUUGAAGUUGGCCUUCAAGUCUAAGAGACAAUUAUGAUAUCAGAUCUUUUGUAAAAGCAAUCCUGAUUUAAAAAAAAAAAAAUGUACCUCUGAUGGAUUGCAUUCUCAAGA